rnacentral:misc_RNA from 1 species
GAAAUGCGAUAAGUAAUGUGAAUUGCAGAAUUCAGUGAAUCAUCGAAUCUUUGAACGCACCUUGCGCCCUUUGGCCAUUCCGAAGGGCAUGCCUGUUUGAGUAUCAUGAACACCUCAACUCUCAUGGCUUGCCAUGAUGAGCUUGGACUUUGGGGGUCUUGCCGGCCCACGGUCGGCUCCUCUCAAAUGAAUCAGCUCGCCAGUGUCUGGUGGCAUCCCAGGUGUGAUAACCAUCUACGCUUGCGGUUUCCAUCGGGUAACCUUCAGAAGUGGGGGUUCACUGGGGCUCACAAAUGCCUCUCCUCGUCGAGGACAGCGCUUUGAACGUUUGAUCUCAAAUCAGGUAGGACUACCCGCUGAACUUAA